UACGGGGGGUGCAAACGUUGCUCGGAAUUAUUGGGCGUAAAGCGCACGUAGGCGGUUCGUUAAGUCGGAUGUGAAAGCCCUCGGCUCAACUGAGGAAGUGCACCCGAAACUGGCGAGCUUGAGUACGAAAGAGGAUCGCGGAAUUCCCGGUGUAGAGGUGAAAUUCGUAGAUAUCGGGAGGAACACCGGUGGCGAAGGCGGCGAUCUGGGUCGAUACUGACGCUGAGGUGCGAAAGCGUGGGUAGCAAACAGG
rnacentral:rRNA from 1 species